AACUAGUGCAUGUGGAGUAGCCGUAUGGCGGCAAAUGACAGUCGAAAUCUCGACGCAUUUCUAACAGAAAGGCCGUCCCAUUUAGACUGAUAGGGUGAUUGAACUCUUGCCGUAGUGAAUCAUGAAGUUUGAAGUUUGAUUGUAUGUGGAAGCAGACUGGGGAAGUAUUGAAUCGAAAUUGGAGCCAAUUGCAAUUUGGAAAUGACUGUUUGAAUUGCAGCCAGAAAGUGGGUGAACUUUAUACACGGGAAUAAACAUUGUGAAACUCUCUGGUCAAUGUGCAUGGAAAGUGCUAAGACAAAGAAAAGAAUAGCUACGAAGGAACUUGCUUUUAAAGUUGAGUAGAAACUCACUGUCAUAUACGAUCAUGUUCAAAGUAGCGUAUGAGUGAUUGAACUGUUACCGUUAUGAAUCAUAAUGUUUGAUUUAAAUUGUGUACAUGGAAACAGACCGGGGCAGUGUUCAAUCGAAAUUAGAGCGAACUGGAACAAUCUGUUUGUAUGUUCAAUGCUACCAGAGGCAGAGCGUGCCGCGUGGAUGACAUACACUGGACUGAUCUUCCCCUAAUCGUUGUACAUAGAAACUGCUAAUAUAAUGGCAAAAAUAACAGCGAAGUGAAAUUUGAGCUCCUUAUCAUGUGACAACUAUAAUAAAAGGUAGCAUGGUCUAUGUAAGUCUGAAAUUAAUAGGAGAAAGUGUUUUGAAACAUUUUCAGAGAGGACUUAAGUCGAAGUUAAGUGGACCAAAACCAAUUAAAACUCACUGACAAUUCUAAUCAUGGCUUUACUUGGAACUGUAUUGUAUGAGUUAUUAGCAGAAAAUAAACAUCGAAAAACUUCGCUCUUUUCGCAUGCAACCAUCAACUGAUAAAGAAUAUUCUAAUACGUACCAUAGUGUACAUUUCGCGAACUAGAGUACGGAGAUUGCUGGCGUGCGGUUGUACUAUUAACGUAGCGACGUAUAAAUGUACCUUCGUUAGAAUGUUAGUGUAAUAAAUCACCAAAAUGCGUUUUCUUCGAAGAAAAUGCGAUUGUAACAAUGUUUUGAAAAUAACAAAUCAGCUUAUUUACCAACAUUCUGUUUAUAAUCAUGUAGCGUUAAUUGCAAAUUUAUUGGUGUGAAAUAGAACGUACUUUCAUAGAA